GCACUUUAAUAGACACCCCGCAACUUGCGCCAUUGGUUUUCGCGAACUCUAAGGGGAAAGGGGUCCUUCGCCUCCUCAAAGAGGGGGUGGAGAAAAAAAAAUCCUCUCAACUUUGGGCAGGAGGAAGGAAUUGUCGGGGUGGCCCCCACUGCGGGGAGGAUAAUUUUUUUCGGUAGUUAUUUCCGUUUCCUCGGUGAGGGAAGGCCCCUUCAGGCAGCGCCAAGGGCAGCCCCGACGCCGGGGCCUGCAGCAGCCGCGACCGGAACGCGGAGGCGGUGGCAGAAGCCGAGCCCGGGCCGGGGAGGAAGGGAGAGGGCAGCCGCCCACCCGCCCCGGGCCUCCAGCCGCCGCAGAUGAGCUCUGCAGAAUCCCCUCCGGGAACUUCUCUCAGUCGGCAUCUCCCGAGAUGGCGAACUCGGCUGACUUUGUGGACGUGUGUCUGAGCAGGGGCAGAGUGCCCGGUUGGAUGGGAACGCAACAGCUUUGAAAGAUUACAGACCAGCCUUGGAUAUGAGCUUAAUUCUACCCUCUCGACGGGAGCGCCAGCGAAUCCACCUCGAGGAGCCGCCGGCUUCUUUGGCGGUGCCGCCACCAGGGUAUCGGAGGGACGCUUCACCGACGCCAUCAUCAAUGGAAGGCAUGGGCGAAGCUACGGUCAUCGACCCUCGAGGUGGCUAAGAAGGCUCUGCGGUAGGAGGUCCGAAAAGGUGAAGCUGAUGCACCGUAUCUCCGGUGGAUGGGCUUGCCGGGCGAGGGCGGCGGGCG